GGGGCCUUAGCUCAGAUGGGAGAGCGUCGGAAUGGCAUUUCGAAGGUCGCCGGUUCGAUGCCGGCAGGCUCCACCA
rnacentral:tRNA from 2 species